CCUGGUGGCUCAGAGGUUAAAGCGUCUGCCUGGAAUGCAGGAGACCCAGGUUCAAUCCCUGGGUCAGGA
rnacentral:tRNA from 1 species